rnacentral:rRNA from 1 species
GGUUAAGUUAACAAGGGCGCAUGGUGAAUGCCUUGGCACUAGGAGCCGAUGAAGGACGGGACUAACACCGAUAUGCUUCGGGGAGCUGUACGUAAGCUAUGAUCCGGAGAUUUCCGAAUGGGGCAACCCAGCAGUUUUAAUCAACUGUUACCACUAGAUGAAUUCAUAGUCUAGUUGGAGGUAAACGCUGUGAACUGAAACAUCUCAUUAGCAGCAGGAAUAUAAAGAAAUUUCGAUUCCCUAAGUAGCGGCGAGCGAACGGGGAACAGCCCAAACCAAAGUGCUUGCACUUUGGGGUUGUAGGACUGAACAUUUGAGUUACCAAAGAACUUGAUAGUCGAAGGAUUUGGGAAAAUCCGCCAUAGAUGGUGAUAGCCCAGUAGAUUAAAUCAAAUUCUCUCAGUUCAGGAUCCUGAGUACGGCGGAACACGUGAAAUUCCGUCGGAAUCCGGGAGGACCAUCUCCCAAGGCUAAAUACUACCUAGUGACCGAUAGUGAACCAGUACCGUGAGGGAAAGGUGAAAAGCACCCCGGGAGGGGAGUGAAAUAGUUCCUGAAACCAUGUGCCUACAAUAAGUCAGAGCGCGUUAAUGCGUGAUGGCGUGCCUUUUGUAGAAUGAACCGGCGAGUUAUGAUCCCGUGCAAGGUUAAGACUAAAAAGUCGGAGCCGUAGCGAAAGCGAGUCUGAAAUGGGCGAUUUGAGUACGAGGUUAUAGACCCGAAACCAGGUGACCUAUCCAUGUCCAGGUUGAAGGUGCGGUAAAACGCACUGGAGGACCGAACCCGUGUAAGUUGAAAAUUGCUGGGAUGAGGUGUGGAUAGCGGUGAAAUUCCAAACGAACUUGGAGAUAGCUGGUUCUCUCCGAAAUAGCUUUAGGGCUAGCCUCGGAUUAAGGAUCAUGGAGGUAGAGCACUAUUUGGACUAGGGGCCCGUCUUGGGUUACUGAAUUCAGAUAAACUCCGAAUGCCAUUGAUUCAUGUCCGGGAGUCAGACGAUGAGUGAUAAGAUCCACCGUCGAAAGGGGAACAGCCCAGACCAUCAGUUAAGGUCCCUAAAUGUAUGCUAAGUGGAAAAGGAUGUGGAGUUGCAUAGACAACUAGGAUGUUGGCUCAGAAGCAGCCACCAUUUAAAGAGUGCGUAAUAGCUCACUAGUCGAGUGAUCCUGCGCCGAAAAUGUACCGGGGCUAAGCAUACUACCGAAACCAUGGAUGCGACCAUUAGGUCGCGUGAUAGGAGAGCGUUCUAAGGGCGGUGAAGCAAGAUCGUGAGGACUUGUGGAGCGCUUAGAAGUGAGAAUGCCGGUAUGAGUAGCGAAGGAUAGGUGAGAAUCCUAUCCACCGAAUGACUAAGGUUUCCUGGGGAAGGCUCGUCCUCCCAGGGUUAGUCGGGACCUAAGUCGAGGCCGAGAGGCGUAGACGAUGGAUAACAGGUUGAGAUUCCUGUACUAGUUAAGUGCGUUUGAGCAAUGGAGGGACGCAGGAGGCUAAGAUGUGCAUUCUGUUGGAUUAGAAUGUCCAAGCAGUAAGUCUUGUGGAGAGUCAAAUGCUUUUCACUUUAAGGACAAGCUGUGAUGGGGAGCGAAAUUUAGUAGCGAAGCGUCUGAUGUCACACUGCCGAGAAAAGCUUCUAGUGAGUACUUAACUACCCGUACCGCAAACCGACACAGGUAGUCGAGGAGAGAAUCCUAAGGUGAGCGAGUGAACUCUCGUUAAGGAACUCGGCAAAAUGACCCCGUAACUUCGGGAGAAGGGGUGCUGAUCGCAAGAUCAGCCGCAGUGAAUAGGCCCAGGCGACUGUUUAUCAAAAACACAGGUCUCUGCAAAAUCGUAAGAUGACGUAUAGGGGCUGACGCCUGCCCGGUGCUGGAAGGUUAAAAGGAUGGGUUAGCUUCGGCGAAGCUCAGAAUUGAAGCCCCAGUAAACGGCGGCCGUAACUAUAACGGUCCUAAGGUAGCGAAAUUCCUUGUCGGGUAAGUUCCGACCCGCACGAAAGGCGUAACGAUCUGGGCACUGUCUCAACGAGAGACUCGGUGAAAUUAUAUUGUCCGUGAAGAUGCGGACUACCCGCGACAGGACGGAAAGACCCCAUGGAGCUUUACUGUAGCUUGAUAUUGAGUGUUUGUACAGCUUGUACAGGAUAGGUAGGAGCCAUAGAAACCGGAACGCUAGUUUCGGUGGAGGCGUUGGUGGGAUACUACCCUCGCUGUAUGACCACUCUAACCCGCACCACUAAUCGUGGUGGGAGACAGUGUCAGGUGGGCAGUUUGACUGGGGCGGUCGCCUCCUAAAAAGUAACGGAGGCGCCCAAAGGUUCCCUCAGAAUGGUUGGAAAUCAUUCGCAGAGUGUAAAGGCACAAGGGAGCUUGACUGCGAGACAGACAGGUCGAGCAGGGACGAAAGUCGGGCUUAGUGAUCCGGUGGUACCGUAUGGAAGGGCCAUCGCUCAACGGAUAAAAGCUACCCUGGGGAUAACAGGCUUAUCUCCCCCAAGAGUCCACAUCGACGGGGAGGUUUGGCACCUCGAUGUCGGCUCAUCGCAUCCUGGGGCUGUAGUCGGUCCCAAGGGUUGGGCUGUUCGCCCAUUAAAGCGGUACGCGAGCUGGGUUCAGAACGUCGUGAGACAGUUCGGUCCCUAUCCGUCGCGGGCGUAGGAAAUUUGAGAGGACCUGUCCUUAGUACGAGAGGACCGGGAUGGACAUACCUCUGGUGUACCAGUUGUGCCGCCAGGCGCAUCGCUGGGUAGCUACGUAUGGAUGUGAUAAACGCUGAAAGCAUCUAAGUGUGAAACACACCUCGAGAUGAGAUUUCCCAUUCCUUUAUGGAAGUAAGACCCCUGAAAGAUGAUCAGGUAGAUAGGUUAGAAGUGGCAGUGCGGUGACGCAUGAAGCGGACUAAUACUAAUCGGUCGAGGACUUAACCAA